ACAACAUACACUCCUCGGUGGUGCUCAUACACAAACGCCGAGAAGACACUGUAAUUCGAUUCUUGGUUUCUUGCACACUUCUUGGGUUCUGAAUCUGAAAGAAAACGACAACGAAAUUCAUUUCUUCCCCAAUUUUUGAGUUUUGAAAGAAAUAGAGAUCAAGAUUAUAGAGAAUGACAACCAUUAGAAAGAUCUGCUGCAAUGAUUUGUUUGAAAUAACCCAUAUGUCGAUGGAACAGUUAACUAUACUUGGCAAAGAAGGAAUAGGAUUUUUUCCUUUGGAAGCGUCUCUGGAAUGCAUGGCGAAGUUCUCUGAUUACAUUCUUGUUGCUGUAUCCCCUGGCAAUCGAAUUAAGGGUUGCAGCACUGCAGUUAUUCAAAGAAAUAAUAAUCAAAAGCAUUGAGAGAUAACUGAGACGAAUUGUCAGUCUGUAGACUUGGUUGAGGCGUUUAUCAAGAUAAUAGAGGAGAAGGCUGACAAAAUUGAUAAGGUAGAUCAUUUGGAAAUAUGGUUGCCCUCCACCGCCAGCGAGCACACUGUAAACUACUUGGCACAACUUGGGUUUACUUACGAAGGCAAAAAGCUUGAUGGUGAGGUCAUAAAGUACUGAAGAAAGACUUGUUAGGAAACAGAAUUGCAGCAGCUCAAUCAUAACAAGUCUGGUGCAGGAGAAGCCACAACAAUGAGAGGCCUCUAAAACUGGAUUCCCGCUGCCUCCUUCAGCAAUACUAAUAGUCAAUUAAAUGAGAUUUGUGACAAUGAUACAUAUACACGUUAUAAUAGUGACAGCGGUAUACAACAAUAUGUGAUAAGUAGGAUGUCAAGGUGAAAGCUAGGUCUUACAUUGUAUGGAUUCAUCCCGUACUUCUGUUAUAACGCUGUUGGAAGAGGGUGAUAAGUAGUCUGCCAUCUAGAGGACCUGUAGGUGUUAAGUGAAUCUGUUGCCGGUCUUCAUCUUGUGCAGGUGGCAAUAAACUUUGUCGAGGUGGAUUUAGAAAUACAUGAUAAUUCAUUUGAAACCAAUAAGCUUUGGAGUUACUU